AAGAGGACGCAGGCAUACAAGG
rnacentral:miRNA from 1 species